rnacentral:rRNA from 1 species
AGAGUUUGAUCCUGGCUCAGGAUAAACGCUGGCGGCGCACAUAAGACAUGCAAGUCGAACGGACUUAACCAUUAGUUUACUAUUGGAGCGGUUAGUGGCGGACUGGUGAGUAACACGUAAGCAACCUGCCUAUCAGAGGGGAACAACAGUUAGAAAUGACUGCUAAUACCGCAUAUGCCUUAGUAACACAUGUUACAAAGGGAAAGAAGCAAUUCGCUGAUAGAUGGGCUUGCGUCUGAUUAGAUAGUUGUGGGGUAACGGCCUACCAAGUCGACGAUCAGUAGCCGGACUGAGAGGUUGAACGGCCACAUUGGGACUGAGAUACGGCCCAGACUCCUACGAGAGGCAGCAGUCGGGAAUAUUGCGCAAUGGAGGAAACUCUGACGCAGUGACGCCGCGUGCGGGAAGAAGGUUUUCGGAUUGUAAACUGCUUUAGACAGGGAAGAAACAAGACAGUACCUGUAGAAUAAGCUCCGGCUAACUACGUG